CCUGGACAUGCAUGGCACCUUCCCACUGAAAACCCUUCCUUAGGUUCCCAUUGCUCUUGGGGUAAAAGCUAAAAUUCUUAUCAUGUCCAACUGGCCCAGAAUGAUAGAGCCUUAUUUUGUUUACCAUCUUGCUUUGGACCACAGUUUAUACUCUAAUGGCAUAGACCUUUCAGUUCCUCAAAGACCUGUUCUCCUUUUUUUCUACAGAGGCUUUGAGAUAAGGAAACUAAAGCCUAAAGAAGUUUGUAUUUUCUUCAAGGUCAAAUGGAUACCAAGUGGGCUACCCACUCUGAGGUCCCAGCCUCCUAGAAUACCACCUGACACCCCGUCUGCAGUCAGGCUUUUACCUCCAGCACCUCAUGGAAACUGCUCUUGUCAAGCACACCGGUGUCCUCCGUGUUGCUAAAAAGAAUGUCAGCUCCAAGUCCAUCGUACAGAACCUACCAGCAGCAUCUGACAGAUUCAUUUCUUUGAGAAAUCCUACUGGCUCUAUCUUCAAAAGAAUAUCCAGAAUUGAAUCCUUUUGACCACCAUUGCUGCUGUAGUCCUGAGUUACCAUCACUUCUUGCCUGGAUUACUACAGCCCUCUUAUUUGGUUUCCUUGCUUCUACCCUUACCCUGUUACAAGCAGCGGGGUGAUCCUCGUACAAAGCAGAUUGAAUCACAUCACUCCUGGGCUCAGGAACCCUCCAGUGGCUCUUCAUUUCACCAGAGGAAGAGCCGAAGCCCUGACAGUAGCCUGCAGGACCCUAUAGUAUCUGACCGCUUCUCCUGCUUUUCGCCUUGCUGAACCCACAUACCUCCCAGGCACGCUUCUGCCUCAGACCUUUCCCUGCCUGUUCUCUCUGCCUAGACCACUGUAACCCCAGAAAUCCAUAGUGCCUUUCCUCACAGCUUUCUUUGAAAUGUCGGUUUCUCAGUGAGGCCUACCCUCAUCCACAUUUUGAAAGUUGUAACAUCCUUUUCUUGCACUUUUCCUCUACUUUACCCUACGCUACCUUUUCCCCCAUAGCACUUACCACCUUCUAACAACAUAAUGUGUGAUUUAUUUAUUGCGUCUACUGCAUACUGUCUCCCUCUCCAUCCUGUCAGAUUAUAAGGUCCAUGAGGGAUCUUUGUUCUGUUCACUGAUGUAUCCCAAGCGCCUAAAAUACUGUCUAGCACAUAGUAUGUGU